UUCCGGUUGAUCCUGCCGGACCUGACUGCUAUCGGAUUGGUACUAAGCCAUGUGAGUCAUUGUAGCAAUACAAGGCAUACGGCUCAGUAACACGUAGUCAAUCUAACCUAUGGACGGGGAUAACCUCGGGAAACUGAGGAUAAACCCCGAUAGAUCAUUAUGCCUGGAAAGGUUUAUGGUCCAAAUGAUUCGUCGCCGUAGAUGGGACUGCGGCCUAUCAGCUUGUUGGUGAGGUAAUGGCCCACCAAGGCUAUUACAGGUACGGGCUCUGAGAGGAGAAGCCCGGAGAUGGGUACUGAGACACGGACCCGGGCCCUAUGGGGCGCAGCAGGCGAGAAACCUUUGCAAUGUGCGCAASCAMSACAAGGUUAAUCCGAGUGUUUCCUGCUAAAGGAAUCUUUUGUUAGUUGUAAAACCACUGAUGAAUAAGGGGUGGGCAAGUUCUGGUGUCAGCCGCCGCGGUAAAACCAGCACCUCAAGUGGUCAGGAUGAUUAUUGGGCCUAAAGCAUCCGUAGCCUGUUCUGUAAGUUUUCGGUUAAAUCCAUUAGCUCAACUAAUGGGCUGCCGAAAAUACUGCAGAACUAGGGAGUGGGAGAGGUAGACGGUACUCGGUAGGAAGGGGUAAAAUCCUUUGAUCUAUUGAUGACCACCUGUGGCGAAGGCGGUCUACCAGAACACGUUCGACGGUGAGGGAUGAAAGCUGGGGGAGCAAACCGGAUUAGAUACCCGGGUAGUCCCAGCUGUAAACGAUGCAGACUCGGUGAUGCCCUGGCUUGUGGCCAGUGCAGUGCCGCAGGGAAGCCGUUAAGUUUGCCGCCUGGGAAGUACGUACGCAAGUAUGAAACUUAAAGGAAUUGGCGGG
rnacentral:rRNA from 1 species